rnacentral:misc_RNA from 1 species
GGUCGGAGUUCAGUCUUCCCGGGCCCACCAUGCUUCGCCGUUUGGCUACGCAUGGCGCAGCCGGGAAAGAACGGUGACGCGGAAGUUGCCGAACCCCGAAGAAGUUUGGGGCGAUCGAGCUGAUGGGGCUGUAGCUCAGCUGGGAGAGCACCUGCUUUGCAAGCAGGGGGUCAGCGGUUCGAUCCCGCUCAGCUCCACCAUUGUUUUGUCCUGACGCUGUCGCGCCUUUGGCGCUGCGCUCCGGACGGGCCGCCGCCCUACGAUAUAUCGAGGGGAGAUCGGCGACAGGCCUCUGGCCUGUGUGGUUGGACGUAACGAAGUUUGUCUUCUGAAGAAAUAAAGGUUUUGCAUCGGCCUUAGGGCUGGAUGCGUGUUCUGCAUACAUUGUGAAGAGAAGAUUGAUCUGGAGGCUUCCAGGUGUUUUGGGCGACCGUAGGGUUGUUCGAGGCGUCCGAGCCCGGUCUUUAUGAAACCAUGGAUGGCCUAGCCGGCCGGAUGUGGUGGAGAGAUCGGAGGUAGGAAGGAAGCUUGUCGCUCUGAGCCGUUGUUGUUGGUCCUCUUCGAGGGCUUCUGACGGACGGCUGGAUUACCGUUGCCUGACCGCGCGGUAUCGGAUCCAAUCUCGAGAAGCUGGUCUUAAAGAUAGACUGCAAGCGAGCUGCUCGGCGUAGCUCCAAUAAAGCAGGUCUAUCGAACACGUCGAUGGCAUUAUUGAAGCGCGAUUGUAAAAGGUAAUCGCGCUGGCUUGGUUCGGCACACUGCAAAGUGUCCGGAUAGUCAGAUUUGGAACCCCUUCGAGCGCAAGCGAGGAGGAUAGGAAUUCCAAAUCCAAGCAAAUGAUGAGCAUUGGCAAUGAGAACGAUCAAGUGUCGUAAGGGCAUUUAGUGGAUGCCUAGGCAUGCACAGGCGAUGAAGGACGUGAUACGCUGCGAAAAGCCGUGGGGAGCUGCGAAUAAGCUUUGAUC